rnacentral:tRNA from 4 species
GCUGAUAUGGCUCAGGUGGUAGAGCACAUCCUUGGUAAGGAUGAGGUCGGCAGUUCGAGUCUGCCUAUCAGCUCCA